rnacentral:rRNA from 1 species
GAUGAACGCUGGCGGCGUGCCUAAUACAUGCAAGUCGAGCGAACAGACGAGGAGCUUGCUCCUCUGACGUUAGCGGCGGACGGGUGAGUAACACGUGGAUAACCUACCUAUAAGACUGGGAUAACUUCGGGAAACCGGAGCUAAUACCGGAUAAUAUAUUGAACCGCAUGGUUCAAUAGUGAAAGACGGUUUUGCUGUCCCUUAUAGAUGGAUCCGCGCCGCAUUAGCUAGUUGGUAAGGUAACGGCUUACCAAGGCAACGAUGCGUAGCCGACCUGAGAGGGUGAUCGGCCACACUGGAACUGAGACACGGUCCAGACUCCGACGGGAGGCAGCAGUAGGGAAUCUUCCGCAAUGGGCGAAAGCUUGACGGAGCAACGCCGCGUGAGUGAUGAAGGUCUUCGGAUCGUAAAACUCUGUUAUUAGGGAAGAACAAAUGUGUAAGUAACUAUGCACGUCUUGACGGUACCUAAUCAGAAAGCCACGGCUAACUACG